AAUUUGCAGUUGCAUGAUGAUCAUGUUAAACUGCACUAUACUAUGAAGAAUAUUUUUAUUUUCAUUGUUUUGCAUAUACCCUAUGUGUUAGCAUUUAAAGAGAAAUUAUUGCAUUAUAUAACUGACGAAAUCACAGGAGGUAUGGUGAUGCAGACUUAUAUGCUUCCCAAUCAAUAGCAAAGCCGACUUAUGAGCCUGAUGAAUAUUGUCUUCAAUCUGCUACAUGUGGAGAGGAUACUAUACUUAUUCCUGAUAGUUUUAAGAGACCAGUUAGUAU